rnacentral:lncRNA from 1 species
GCUCAGGAACCACUUACAAGCUCUAGCAGUUGGUGUUCCAGCAUCCCACAGGGAGGAAGGUUAUGCUGGUGAUCCACGUGGCCGAUCUGGGCUAUGGCUUCAACAGCUCUGGGGUCUGCAUGUUCCUGCAUUAGCCCUACUCCAACAACGAGGCUGAAGUCACCUGGACUGUUCCUGUGAUAUCUUCUAGUACAUGAACAGGAAUGAAACCUACUAUGUCCUCCACGUGAACUAUAUACUGAGCGUGGGUGCAGAUGGGAAACCAUUCUCCUAUCCUGCAGAAAUGGAAUAUACUUUCGAGGAUGUUGGUGUAUCUGUACCACCUGACCCAAUCCUGCCUACACUUGGACCCUGAUGGGCAUUGUAGUGGCCAGUACUAUCCAGAGGAGAGAGGAGGAGGUAAGAGCAGGCUCCUAGCCACGUAUCCAGUAGCAACACUGAGACGUUUCGCCCCAAAGGUCCUGCCCACAAAGUCCUCUGCACUUUCUCCCUCUGUCCCUCCAAACAAAGUCAACCUUCUGAAAGCUGCCUCAAGUCCUGACCAGAUGGCACCCUCCUGCAGAAGUCCUGAACAGCACUCUGCACAUCAUGCCUACGUCUCAGCCUGA